AUAGUACUCCCUCCGUUCGGAAUUACUUGUCUCGGAAAUGGAUGUAUCUAGAAUUAAAAUACGUCUAGAUACAUCCAUUUUUGCGACAAGUAAUUCCGAACAGAGGGAGUAGUGA
rnacentral:pre_miRNA from 1 species